GACGAACCGAGCGAACGUUGUUCGGAAUCACUGGGCGUAAAGGGUGCGUAGGCGGCCUGGUAAGUCUGUUGUGAAAUCUCCAAGCUUAACUUGGAAACUGCAGUGGAUACUAUCCGGCUAGAGGAAUGGAGGGGAGACUGGAAUACUUGGUGUAGCAGUGAAAUGCGUAGAUAUCAAGUGGAACACCAGUGGCGAAGGCGAGUCUCUGGACAUUUCCUGACGCUGAGGCACGAAAGCCAGGGGAGCAAACGGG
rnacentral:rRNA from 1 species